UACUAUGGUCGAUGCAAUCGACUUAACAUCUUUAAAAUCGUUGGCCUUCUGCCAAAAUUUGAAACCUUUAUAAUUGUAAGGUUUAGUGUGUCCAAAGAUGAAACCACAAGCCAAUAUGAGAUUGGUUGAUGGAAUGUAAUUUAUAAAGCGACAAAAGGAAGCUGAAUUAUUGGCGCAUACCAGAGGGAAUUUGAUGAGAUCUGCAUGAUUUGAAGCAUAGGUGACAGACGAAAUUUUAAGGUCGAAGGUUAGUC